GAACGAGAACGUGGAUCACUCAUGAGUAAAGUGGCGAUCGUGGUGAGUAACACGUGACUAACCUACCCUCGAGUGGGGAAUAACCUCGGGACAACGGGGCUAAUACCGCAUAACAUCUUCGGAUCAAAGGAUCAAUCCGCUGGAGGAGGGGGUCGCGGCCGAUUAGCUAGUUGGCGGGGUAACGGCCCACCAAGGCCAUGAUCGGUAGCCGGCCUGAGAGGGCGCACGGCCACACUGGAACUGAAACACGGUCCAGACUCCUACGGGAGGCAUCAGUGGGGAAUUUUGCGCAAUGGGGGAAAUCCUGACUCAGCAACGCCGCGUGGAGGAUGAAGCCCCUUGGGGUGUAAACUCCUUUCGAUCGGGACGAUUAUGACUGUACCGGAUGACUAAGCACCGGCUAACUCUGUGCCAGCAGCCGCGGUAAU
rnacentral:rRNA from 1 species